UUAUUAGUCACAGAUUUUUGCUAGCAUGAGCGGCGCCAUGAGAGCAGCUGCGCCGGUGGCUCUCGUGCACAGCGCGUGCAUCGGUGACCUUCUAAAGUCCUCCUUCGCGAACUGCAUCGCAUCGCCGGCCGGAGCGCCGGCCAUCUGGCCGUUCCCCUUUGCGGUGUGGUACUCCGUCUCCGCCGCAGCUGCAAUCUCCUCCGGCGCCAGCGUUGUUGAGCAGCGUUUCUCAUCCAGCAGCAGCGCUGGCGGCUCCUAUCCAUCUACCAAAGAAAGGAGCAUUACCUUAUCCAGCGCCAGCGUUUGUACGAGCAGUGUACUUCAGAGACGAUGGUGGAGGAGCCAUCAAGGAGAUUGCUGGGCAGAUGCAGCUACGAAAUUACUUGUUCCAGUAUUUUGUUUAGCAAUUACAUUGUCCAAUUUUCUAUUAUUUGUGAGACCGGAUAUGAAUUGCUAGGCUAUCUAAGAAAUAAAUGUUAUAGUAAUUGAGAAAAUGAUCUUUGUUCCUUAAUGGUUCUGUAACUUUAGAACCACGUCCCUGAUGCAUAUACAUAUAUAACUGAUAUUGAUUUUGUGAAAUCAGUUGUGAGCCCUUACCCCAAUAUUUUUGUUUGCCUGUAAAUGCAGAGAGAAGUACCUUGCUGACAAAUAAAAUAUUUCAGAGACAACUAUUUAAAACAAUUUUAAAAAUUCAAUUUAAAAAAGAUAAGGUUGCUAUGUCUUCAACACAUUAUAUUUAGUCAUAUAAGAAUGGUUGUACCUGUUGUAAUUCUAGCUAUUGAAAAACAAAUAUCUAUAAUACAUCCUUGAAAACAAUGUUUUCUGCAACCUUGUCGGAUCGACGCUCUUCAUCUGAUAUGAGUAUCCGCAAUCCAUUUCUGCUGGUAACCCUUGACAUUGCAACAUAGAGCUGUGUGAACACUUGCCUUUGUAAGUAGAGUCAAAACUUUUUGAGAGAUUGCCCCUGACUUUUGUUUAUAGUCAUAGCAAAGCACACUGAUAUUGGGUAUUGUCUCCUUUUCACAAUGAAAGGCCAUUCUGAAUCACUUGGUGACAUAAUAAUUCGUGGGAUGUAAACUUUGUCGCCAAUGUUAGUACCUGUUAUGACCUGGCCUUCGAUGAAACGCUUCUCUAGCUGUGUUAUUGUUAGUCUUGUCCCAUUGCAAAGUCCUGCACUUUGAUUGAAGUUAUUCAUAGUCGUAAGCAUUACUGGUAAUCCUACUUUCAGCCUCAGUUCAUGAUCUGGUAUUCCAGAAAAUGUUAGACUAUUUAGAAACUCAGAUGAAUUCAGACGCAUAUUUAGGAUCUCUUUACAGAUGCAGAAAUGAUAUGUUCCCUUUCCCCCUUUGGAAUAACUGGUAGGAUUCGCCUGAAGUCACCUCCCAAGACUACCGUCAUUCCUCCAAACAGUCUAUGCUCGGCAUCCUCAUUUGUGAAUCGAAGUAUGUCUCUCAAACUCUUGUCUAGUGCCUCAAAACAGUGCUUGGGUGUCAUAGGUUCUUCAUCCCAUAUUAUCAGUGAAGUUUUCUUUAUUAGUUCCGCGAGAAAUGUUCCUUGCUUGAUGUUGCAUGUCGACUCGUUAGUGAUCUUGAGCGGAAUGUGAAAUCUUGAAUGAGCUGUUCUUCCACCCUGUAAAAGAAGCGUUGUUGUACCACUUGAAGCCACUGCUAGAAGCCUAGAACUAUUUUUCCUUCAGAUCUUAAUUUUCUUGUGACUGCUUUCCGCAAAAAUGUCUUUCCAGUUCCAUCAUAUCCGUCAACGAAAAUCAAUUUUCCAAGACUGCUAUUACCUGAUUCUAUUAUAACAGCAAAAGCCAUCCUCUGAUCUUGAUUUAGCUUUUGCAGUAACUCUGUGUGCUCUAUUCUUAAUGAAUCUUUAUCUUAGUUUAGUUCCUCGUUUACUAAUCUAUUACUUAUAUCUUGAAGAAUUGAACUAUCUGGUAGUGGCAUUCCUGGAAAAUCUUUGAGGGACUUACCACCUUUGGUCAACAGGUGUUCCAUCUCUGCCAAGAGGAGCCUCUUUAUUUGUGCUGAGAUCCGUUACCUUGCAAAAUCAAAGUAUCGUGUAGAAAAGUUGGCGCAUUUGAGGAGCAGAGGCCCAAUGGGAUGCUUCCUUGAUGCAGUCAUCCCACUCCUUGUCGUCAUUAAGAAGCCCAAGAGCAUAACAUGCAGAUUUGUAUGUUGGAUGUACAACCCCAUCAACAGUUCGGGUUUCUUCCUAGAAUCUGCAUCCUUUCAUGGUGAAAUUGUAACCUUUCAACCACUGGCUCUCUAUACUGAAGAGGAAACUGAAAUAUGUGCCAUGAGGCUUCACAUUCGGAUAUGUACCAAGCAUCAAGAUAUCAUCCCAAGCACACUAUAUGGAGUACGGACAGGACACACGAUGUGAUCGGCUCUCCGGCGCGGGCGCCGCUCUGGCGCAGCACGUGUACUCAAACCCAAUUUGGGGUGUGAAUCUUGCAUGCUGCCAAUCCAUUGUAGUUCCUGGAAUCUGCCCUGACCCAGUGGGCGCUGAUGAAUCUUGAUGUCAAGGACAGCUAAAAGAUGGCACCCGUAGAUGGAAAGAAAGAUGAACACCGGCGCAAGGGCUUCAGCUCAACAAAACGCCAAUAGGGAAGAAGAGUUUGCUAAUAUAACAGGAGAAUAAAGGCUACAGGUUACUUUCGUGCGGAUUGGGGCCAGCAGCAACUGCUGACGAACAUGCACUCUGAAACCUUGCCAACGACAGCAAUCGCCGAGGCUGCUUCAAACUGCUAUCCGCCUAUCCGUGCACCACCUCUGCUGCAUCAGAAACCACGAGAUUGAUUUAUUUAUUGGGCUGAAAACGGUUUCAAUAUUGUAAUAUACUGUAGUUAUAACCUGAAAUCCGUGAAAAUUAAAAGUUUGGGGACA